CUAUUAUUCACUGGUGAAUAACCUUUUGAGUUUCUUGGUUUGUACUUGUGUUACCUUCCAUAAAAAUGACGUCACAGACGUAAAUAAACAAAAUGGCAGCGUUCACGUUACACUGGAAGCCCAUCAAGAGACGAGGAAAUAAGGCAUUGGACAUGAAUACACCUGAGAGUACCAGCAGCCGAUGAUAUCUCUUAUAAACGGUCCUUUUCAGGGCCAUCAAUAUUUUACAAAAAGAUUUUACUUUUGUUGUAAAUUCGAGUAAUUUGAAC
rnacentral:lncRNA from 1 species